AUGUUAGGCAAAGUUCAUAAGCAUUUUCAUGGAAUCGAAGAAGAUAAUCUUCAUUCAAUACUAUUUCAAAGAUUUAUUACAUCCAUCCAAAAUUCAACAAUCAAAAGACAUUAUAUAGUGAUAUUAUGGCAUCAUUCUAGGAAUAAAGAUUCUGAUCAAAAUUUUCACCGAAGUCCACGUGAAUGUCUUGGCUUUCAUCUUGUCUUAUAA